rnacentral:tRNA from 1 species
UCGCGCUCUAGGGCGCAGGCGGCGAGCCACAGGCGGAUCGCGCCCGCCAGCCCCGGCGGCGUGGGGCUGGCGAUGCGUUCGGCAUCGAUCCGCGCCACC